UUGCUGCAUCCUUGGACUCCCUCCUUUCCAGAAAAUUAAGUGAGGACACUCAGAAAGUAGAGAAAGAAAAGGAGACGUCGACUGUACCCCCAUCCUACACAUCAUAGUGAUUUAUACUAAAAUUAAUGGCACUCAGCUGCUCGCCAACUCCGUUCCCACAGCAGCAGGAAUGUCGCACACUGUCUGAUUACAACUGCAAGUCUUAA
rnacentral:lncRNA from 1 species